rnacentral:rRNA from 1 species
AGCGAACGCUGGCGGCAGGCUUAACACAUGCAAGUCGAAUGGGCACUUCGGUGCUAGUGGCAGACGGGUGAGUAACGCGUGGGAACGUACCUUUCGGUUCGGAAUAAUUCAGGGAAACUUGGACUAAUACCGGAUACGCCCUUCGGGGGAAAGAUUUAUCGCCGAUAGAUCGGCCCGCGUCUGAUUAGCUAGUUGGUGAGGUAAUGGCUCACCAAGGCGACGAUCAGUAGCUGGUCUGAGAGGAUGAUCAGCCACAUUGGGACUGAGACACGGCCCAAACUCCUACGGGAGGC